UCCGGUUUAUCACCGGCAGUCUCCCUUGAGUUCCCACCAUUACGUGCUGGCAACAAAGGAUAAGGGUUGCGCUCGUUGCGGGACUUAACCCAACAUUUCACAACACGAGCUGACGACAGCCAUGCAGCACCUGUCUCACAGUUCCCGAAGGCACCGAAGCAUCUCUGCUAAGUUCUGUGGAUGUCAAGAGUAGGUAAGGUUCUUCGCGUUGCAUCGAAUUAAACCACAUGCUCCACCGCUUGUGCGGGCCCCCGUCAAUUCAUUUGAGUUUUAACCUUGCGGCCGUACUCCCCAGGCGGUCGACUUAACGCGUUAGCUCCGGAAGCCACGCCUCAAGGGCACAACCUCCAAGUCGACAUCGUUUACAGCGUGGACUAC
rnacentral:misc_RNA from 1 species